rnacentral:lncRNA from 1 species
CCAGUCCAUUAGGGUGAAAAGCGUAUUCAAAGGCCUUUGACUUAUAAUUUUUGGGUUACUGCAAGAUCAAUGAUUGACACUCAAAUGUCAGCAUGGGUGAUGCACUUUGUCAGUAGUUCACAGGCCAAUUUAUGUAAUAGUAGACCUUUCUCCACAGAUCCUUUAUCCGUAUUAAAGGUACAUAAGAACAAAGGAACAUAAAGAGGAGCCUUGUUGGAUCUGGCCACGGCCCAUCUGGUCCAGCAUCCUGUUUCACACAGUGGUCCACCAAUUGCUUCUGGGCAUUCUCUAGCAGGAUAAAAAGGCAAAACCCAAAUUUGGCUCAGAUAAAAAAAGUUUGUCAACAGUUAAAAAAAAGCAGUACGUCAAGAAUAGAUGUAGAUGAAAAAGAAGAGAAAAAUGAUGCCGAAUCUCCAUGGGAUUCAGAGUGUACUUUAGAAAGCCCCAGGAAGCCACCUAUUGAUUCCUUUGCUACAGCUCCUACCAGAAGGAUGGAAGAAUCUUGUGAUAGUAAGCUCAUUAUAAAUAUCCUUUUCUCUUCUGUUUUCUGAUACGUUUGUGGAAUCACAGGAUAGGAAUGGGCCAUUUAGGCCAUGAAGUACAACACCUGCUCCAUAUAGGAAUUCAGACCUACCCAGGCACAAAAGAUGGUUAUCCAGUAUCCUGCUGAAGACAUCUAUGUUGGGAAAGCCUCCUGACAUCUUAAGUAACUUGUUCAGAUGUUGGACUGUCCUGAUAUGUGUUAUUGUUCACUAGUUCAGUUGUGUCCGACUCUUCACGACCCCAUGGACCAAAGCACACCAGGCCCUUCUGUGCUCCACUGUCUCCCAAAAUUGGGCCA